UGGCUUAACCACCCUGCUGGCCCAUGCUCAGACUUUUAUAAUAGCUGAUAACUUACUAGGAGACCAGCAGAUCCAUCUUGUGCAAUGACCUAAUGACCUAUGAGCUCCCAUUCAUAAUACCUACUACAAACAACAUCAAACCCAUGGCAGUCUCUAUGCCUUCCAUGUAGCUUCUGCCAUUAACAAUUCAUUGCAUGUGAUGCACCAUACCCCUGUCUAUCUCUCCCGCUAACCAUCCCAAUUUGGUUCAAUUUGGAAUAAGAGAGUAAGAAUACAGGAUAUGAAGAUUUUUAAGUAUUAUGAAGCUCUUGGAAACAUGAACAGGAUCUCAAGUAUACUCCACAAGCUUCAAUACAAAUGACAGUCCUGAUACUGCAGUGGAGAAAGAACCCAAGCCGAGGACAUUGAAUACACAUGAUGUCACGACUCUUCUACAAUGUGAUCUCUGUCCCAUUCCCAUUAGGAUGUACUUGAUUAUUUAGACAAUGUAAUUGCUUUCGGCCUUGUUGCAGAGUGAGGAAAACAAGGUUUUUAGUCAAGGAGAAGACUUGUUUAAAAACAACGACGUAAAGAAACAAGGCGAAGGGCUUGCACUGGGCCUGGAUGCCUGCUUGGGUUUGGGCCAUUCUUAAUGUUUUCUUUCUUGGCUUGAAGCACCAAUGUACC